GACGAACGCUGGCGGCGUGCCUAACACAUGCAAGUCGAACGGAAAGGCCCUGCCUUUGUGGGGUGCUCGAGUGGCGAACGGGUGAGUAACACGUGAGUAACCUGCCCUUGACUAUGGGAUUACUCCAGGAAACUGGGGCUAAUACCCGAUAGGAUCUCCUGCUGCCUGGUGGGGGUUGGAAACUUUCGGCGGUGGGGGAUGGACUCGCGGGUUAUCAGCUUGUUGGUGGGGUCGUGGCUUACCCCGCGGUUGACGGGUAGUCGGCCUGAGAGGGUGACCGGCCACAGGGGGAGUGAGAUACGGCCCAGACUCCUACGGAAGGCAGCGGUCGGGAAGAUUGCCCGACGGGGGGAAGCCUGGUGCGGCAACGCCGCGUGCGGGAUGACGGCCUUCGGGUUGUAAACCGCUUGGGCCAGAGACGAAGCGUGAGUGACGGUAAGGGGUAAAGAAGCAACGGCUAACUACGUG
rnacentral:rRNA from 1 species